AACGCACGAGACCUGCGGACCUGCGGAGGGAUCAUUAAUGAGAAGCUGCCCCUCGUGGGUAGACCUCCCACCCUCUGUGAACUUACCUUUGUUGCUUUGGCAGGCCCGUCCUCUGGACCGCCGGCUUCGGCUGGCCCGUGCCUGCCAGAGGAUUCCAAACCCUGUCUGUCAGUGUUGUCUGAGUCUAUAUGAAAUCGUUAAAACUUUCGGCAACGGAUCUCUAGAUCGGAAGAGCACACG
rnacentral:misc_RNA from 1 species